rnacentral:rRNA from 1 species
UACGAAGGUCCCGAGCGUUAUCCGGAUUUAUUGGGUUUAAAGGGUGCGUAGGCGGGUUAUUAAGUCAGUGGUGAAAGCCUUCAGCUCAGCUGAAGAAUUGCCAUUGAUACUGAUGAUCUUGAGUAUGAUUGAGGUGGGCGGAAUGUGUCAUGUAGCGGUGAAAUGCUUAGAUAUGACACAGAACACCGAUUGCGAAGGCAGCUCACUAAGCCAUAACUGACGCUGAUGCACGAAAGCGUGGGGAGCAAACAGG